ensembl:lncRNA
CUCUUUACAACCCUACGGACCAUAGCCCGCCAGGCUCUUCUGUCCAUCGGAUUCUCCAGGCAAGAAUGCUGGAGUGAGUUACUAUGUCCUCCUCCAGGGAAUCUUCCUGAUCCAAGAAUGAAACCUGCGUCUUAUCUGUCUCCUGCAUUGGCAGGAAUAAAGAUAACAUAAGGGGAGUCUCUCAAGAGGAUUGGAGACUUCAGUACUGGCCAACCACUUGUGACUAUAAUGAGACAUCCUGAGAUGGAGAUGAGUGCAUGAAUUUGUAAGUCAAAACACAAGGUUCCAGUUACGACCAGUUAAUACUACAGUACGUGAUGGCAUCACUGACUCGAUGGACGUGAGUCUGAGUGAACUCCGGGAGUUGGUGAUGGACAGGGAGGCCUGGCGUGCUGUGAUUCAUGGGGUUGAAAGGAGUCGGACACGACUGAGCAACUGAACUGAACUGAACACUAUCUAAGGCUGAAUGAGGGGAUAUGGGACCUCGGAUUCAGAGGAAUAACAAGCAUAUUUGGAGGGUCAAGUGUAAAAUAUACACAGAUUUUGGACUUAACCUCCAAGUUGUUCAAGGGUCAAUUGUAUAUGUAUACAUAUAAUCACUCAAUUAUUUAUUGAUUCAAUCAGUGAGUAUCUAUUAAGUAUUUACUAAGUACCAUAUGCAGUUUUUAUGCUAAGUAUAAAAUAAAACAAUGUAUACAUGUUAAAGUUUAUCAUUAUAUAUGCGUAUCUAUAUGUUUAUAACUCCAUAGAAAAUUUAUUUUAAAGUGCCGUACAACAAAAAUAUAAUGUAAGUCACAUAUGUAAUUUAAAAUUUCCUAGUAGCUGUAGUAAAAUGGCUUUAUUAAAGGUGAAAUUAAUUUUACUUAUAUAUUUUAUUUUACAUAGUGUAUCCAAGAUAUUGUCAUUCUAACAUGUAAAUGUAAAACAAUUAUUCAUGAUAUAUUUCACACUUUUUUAGUCUUCAAAAUCCAUCACAGAUUUUAUACUUAGCACAUCUCAGAACAGGCCAGAGCUUAAGUUCACAACAAUCACACGUAGUUAGUGGCAUCUGUUGGAUAUUUCAGGUCUAGAAUAACAUAUAAAAACUGAUUGGGAGAUGGAAGAGGG